AUGAACAAAGCUAGUGGAGCUGAAGGAAUUCCAGUUAAGCUAUUUCAAAUUAUAAAAGAUGAUGCUGUGAAAGUGUUGCACUCAAUAUGCAAGCAAAUUUGGAAAACCCAGCAGUGGCCACAGGACUGGAAAAGGUCAGUUUUCAUUCCCAUCCCAAAGAAAGGCAAUGCCAAAGAAUACUCAAACUACUGCACAAUUACAUGCCUCUCACAUGCUAGCAAAGUAAUGCUCAAAAUUCUCCAAGUCAGGCUUCAACAGUAUGUGAACUGUGAACUUCCAGACGUUCAAGCUAGUUUUAGAAAAGGUAGAGAAGCCAGAGAUCAAAUUGCCAACAUCUGCUGGAUCAUCGAAAAAGCAAGAGACUUCCAGAAAAACAUCUACUUCUGCUUUAUUGACUAUGUCAAAGCCUUUGACUAUGUGGACCACAACAAACUGUGGAAAAUUCUUAAAGAGAUGGGAAUACCAAACCACCCGACAUGCCUCCUGAGAAAUCUGUAUGCAGGUCAGAAAGGAACAGUUAGAACUGGAUGUGGAACAACAGACUGGUUCCAAAUCAGGAAAGGAGCAUGUCAAGGUUGUAUAUUGUCACCCUGCUUAUUUAACUUCUAUGCAGAGUACAUCAUGAGAAACGCUGUGCUGGAUGAAGCAAAAGCUGAAAUCAAAAUUUCUGGGAGACUCAGAUAUGCAGAUGAUACCACCCUUACUGCAGAAAGUGAAGAAGAACUAGAGAAUCACUUGAUGAAAGUGAAAGAGGAGAGUGAAAAAGUUGGCUUAAAGCUCAACAUUCAGAAAACUAAGAUCAUGGCCUCUGGUCCCAUGACUUCAUGGCAAAUACAUGGGGAAACAGUGGAAACAGUGACAGACUUUAUUUUGUUGGGCUCUAAAAUAACUGAAAAUGGUGACUGCAGCCAUGAAAUUAAAAGACACUUACUUCUUGGAAGAAAAGUUAUGACCAGCUUAGAUAGCAUAUUAAAAAGCAGAGACAUUACUUUGACAAUAAACAUCCAUCUAAUCAAAGCUUUGGUUUUUCCAGUAGUCAUGUAUGGAUGUGAAAGUUGGACUAUAAAGAAAGCUGAGAGCUGA
rnacentral:lncRNA from 1 species